CAAUUCACUUCCAAUUUAUGGGAACGGAACAGAAGUAGGAAAGUUGGCUACGUCAUUGAAAUGUCAUCCUCUUACCCUGAACCUGGCUCAGUCAAUAUUGCUCAAAUGGAGAAGCUAACUAUUAUAUCAAAUUAUAGCAAUGUCCAAAUGCAUACCAAGGUCAUGGGUUACUAUUACAUUUUAGUUGCUGACCCAUUACCAAAAUCAAACUCCAUCUUUCAUUCCUCGAUGUGGCAGAUCUGGUGUAGGUUUUCAAGCUAGGAAUUGAAGCAAUGAUCUGAUGUGUUCCUCAACUUCGGUACCCAUGCGAAGCAGAUAUGAUAUGAUGUUGGUGUGUUUUGUGGACUACUUAAUUAAUUAAUGGUUCUAACAGAUACUAUAAUGUAAUAGGAUUAGUUGUAUUAAAAAAAAUUAAUUAAUGGUUCUCAAGAAUAAGUGAUCAUUUUGCAAUUUAGUUUGCAUUGCAUCACAUAUUUGGGAACUUUAGUCUGCAUUGUAAUUAGGCCGGUCUAUUAAAAAUAAAGGCCCCCUGUCUAAUAGUUAA